rnacentral:rRNA from 1 species
CCUACGGGAGGCAGCAGUGGGGGAUAUUGGACAAUGGGGGGAACCCUGAUCCAGCGACGCCGCGUGAGUGAAGAAGUAUCUCGGUAUGGAAAGCUCUAGCAGCAGGGAAGAAGAAAUGACGGUACCUGAGUAAGAAGCCCCGGCUAACUACGUGCCAGCAGCCGCGGUAAUACGUAGGGGGCAAGCGUUAGCCGGAAUUACUGGGUGGAAAGGGAGCGUAGGCGGUGAUGUAAGUCUGGAGUGAAAGGCGGGGGCCCAACCCCCGGACUGCUCUGGAAACUAUGUGACUGGAGUGCAGGAGAGGUGAGCGGAAUUCCUAGUGUAGCGGUGAAAUGCGUAGAUAUUAGGAGGAACACUAGUGGCGAAGGCGGCUCACUGGACUGUAACUGACGUUGAGGCUCGAAAGCGUGGGGAGCAAACAGGAUUAGAUACCCGAGUAGUC